AUAUAUAUAUAAUAAAAAUAAAUAUACAGUAGCCAACGUAUCAAGGAAGAAUAACAUAGCAAAAAAAACCUUUAUGAACUCAUAAAAAGGUUAGACAAAGGUUAGCCAAAAAGGAAACCAAUUAUUUCUUGCCAGAAUAACUCUACCCCAAUCACACUGAAGAAGAAAGAAGUAUGGGCCACAUAAGAUCUUUCCAAGCGCCAAAAAUGGCCCCCAGGACACUGCUGUCUGCUGUGGGUGGAGUGAUUUUUGUGAACUUGUCAGCUUUCCAGUAACUCUCUUCCUUUCUCUGUUUCCACUGCUCAUCUUCUUCCCCUUCAUAUUUCUUUCACACAUUAUGAAUUUUACAGCAUGUGCUGCCAAAAACUGACUCACCUCCAGAUUAGACUGCUGCUGGAAAUGCUUUGCAGGAAGAUGCCACCAGCUUAGAGUCCACUGGAUCUGAGCCUGCUUUUCUAUAGUGCAGCAACCUAACAGUGAAGUCAUAUAUACUUUAUCACUCUAAUCGCAGUGUCUUUGUCACAACAGCUUCACCUCUAUAUGAUGUGAGGGGAGUCAUUUCCCACUCAUUACCCUUGUUUUAAAUUAAAUGCCAUUUCCUGUGUUUCACCAGAGAGGUUCCUGUGAUGACCGUCACAGGCGGCCGCCAAGGGCAACAGCAAAAAGAAAAACUAUUAUUUCUUAGGGGAAUGACACAGGGUCUUCUACUGCUGAGUAUCAAAGACUGUAGGAGAAGGUGAAGGGGACGCUAUUAUCUUCUGAGAUCCAUCGACUAGUCCUACCAUCCAUCCAUCUAAUAGUGAGGUUAAAAUUACGAGCGCAGCUGGAGAAAACAACCACCACCAGGACGCCGCUGCCGGAGGUCUUACCUUCAUGGACCGAAGCGCAUCUUCCAUGGAGAACCAGGGAGAACCACAGCACCGCGACCGUUAACUUCAUGCUCCUCAUGUUCUCUGGAUGUGAUCAGAUCAUUUCUUAUGCUCCCAGCAUCCUGCAGCAGGAGGAAUCACAUCAGCAGCCGAACGGGACCUCCGGACCGUAGAGGAGCAUAUCCAGUUUGUGCUGAAGGAUGAAGGAGCCGCUUAUGGAAGCUCCGUCCAAUGCGCAACGCCGCCUUCACACAAUGGAGCAGCUACAGCCCGGUGCCCCCCUCCACAAACCUCAUCCUGUCUCUCUACCCCACUCCCUCUCUCACUCUCUCUCUCUCUCUCUCUCUUUUUUUUUACGUGAAGAGCUGAUGGAUUCCGCUGCCUGGGGGAGGGAUGGGAUGGUGAGGGCUGGCCCGAUAGAGGAUGGAGGGACAAACAUACCGGAUCCUCCGAACUGUAAACAACUGUAAACAAACUGACGACUACUAAUUAAAUUAGCAGAGAAACAAGCGGUGGCUCGACUCGUAAACAACUCGGGGCAGCACGGCAGCGGAGAUGGACUCUCUCUCUCUCCUAAUUAAGUUUGAGCUGACAGCAGCUGGAGGAAGAACGGGAUGAAUGGUUCCGCGCCUACACACUGGCGCACAACCAUCCAGACACAAAGCCGUUGAACUUUGAUGCUUCGUUCACGUCGAAAACACUCCGGCUUUUUGGCUGUUCACAGGCAGAACCCGAAGUUAAUGGUCCGGCUGUUUUUAUUGGCUGUUUUCAUCACUUUGAUCAAUGCCUGUGUUGUGGCCAAGGUCUGACCAUGUAAACACACACAGACGCACACUGAUACAAGGACUUGUUGUCUAUUACUUGUGCCGGUGCAGAUCAGUACAGUAAGUAAUGCAAUGGCCUUACACCUGAAGGGUUGUGGGUUUGAUUCCAUACUGUAGUGGUCUAUUCGGGAUUUAUUUAGGAUUAAUUCAGGCAGGGCACCACUGAAGGACAAGGUGAGAAAUGCAUGGUACGCCACUGAUAUAUGUAUAUUCAUCAGAUGCAACUUGGCUGGUACCAUUUCUUUAGACGCUCAAAUUAUCAAUACAAGUGUGAUGCAUCAUCAAGUAGUAUCAGCUUCUAAAGACCUCAGACACACAGGAAGUCAUUUUAUAUAAAACCAAAUGUUCUUGUUUGUGUUUUCCUGAAUGGAGGUGGUUCAGACUGUUCUAAUUGUAGGACUCUUGCCUUACCCCCACAAGGUUCUAAAUUCAGAUCAACUAAGUUCACCAAUCCAACAUUAGGUUGCAUUAGGAAGGGCAUCCAGUGUAAAACUCUCUUAGUCUCUGGCUGCAGUAGGUUGAUACUGUGAAUGCACUCUCAUGUACAUACGGUACAGCCUACACAGUACCAUAGUGCAGUCGUUUCCAUUGUCAUUUAACAGCCAUGCCUCUGUAUGUGUUCAGUGACCUUUUCAAACCAAAACAUAACACUGAGAUGAAUGACGGCUGUGAGUUGGCCUCUGGUUGUAGGAGAAUGUUCCUGUGUAAAUGUUUCUGCAAAAUCUGUUUUGGCUAAAGUUAGCUCAGCUGCUGUCAUUUGUCGUUGCGAUGCCUUGCUUCCUCCAUGUACAUGGCCAGAAGGCACCAUGGUGGAAGAGUGGUUACUGAGAAGUAAUUAAGAAGAUCACUGGCUGAAACCCCCGGUCUUUCUGUGUGGAGUUUGCUUUCAAUUAGGUUAAGUGGUUUAGACUGUGAUGGCUGUUUGUUCUCUGUAUGUGGCUCUGAGCUGAACUGGUGAACUGGCCUGGUGACUGCUGAUAUGAUGAUGUGGUAGAAGAUGAGGUGAUGAUAGAAGGUUCUUCAAACAGAUCAUGUCUAGGAGCUGUGACCUUUUUUUCAAGUCCUUGCUAUUUAUAUUGUUAAAACAUGGUCUUUUUGGUGUACAGUGUACCUGCUUUAUGUUCUUCUUUUGCUCCUUUUUUGCUUUACAAAUGUGGAUUUGAAAUUGAGAUAAGCGCAUUUGCAAACGACCGCUGGCAGCUUUGUUUACCCAGACGAGAUCGUACACAGCAUACUAUUGGCUAAUACAAUGCAUACAUGGUGUAUUAUUGGCUAAUUGAACAUGCUCUUCUGUUGCUCACGCUGAUUGGCUCAUGCAUCGUAGCAUCUCUCAGCAUCUCCCGACCACUCUCUCGUUCACUUCGCUCUGUGUCGCCAUUAUACAACUCUACCGUCCAUAUAAUUGUGUGGGAAAGGGUAAUACAGUCUAGGGAGGGUUGAUAACAGUGUGGGGGAGGUUCGUAAAGGGUAAAUAUAUACAUCAAUAAUAUAAUAACUAUCUCGCCUCUGCUUGGGUGCUAAGCUGCCACCCCUGCUCACUUUGGUGAUGGGUUAAAAGCAGAGGUGAAAUUUCGUCGUGUGCUGUGUCACAAUGACAAAUAAUUCACUUUCAUUUUUUCCAUAAUAGCAAGAUAGAGAGAGAGAGAGUUAUUUUUGUAUGGAUAGAUUGAUUUUUAAUGCAAACUGGGUCAAGACGGUUUUAGUUUUAGAGAGGUUUGAGAAACACCACUCCACACAUCAUACUGUUUUCCCAGUAAGCAUACAGUAAGACAUUCACUGAAAUCUUAGCUGUGUUUUCUUUAAAAGGUCAUUCUUUUGGUGCGCGCUCCAGGCUGCACCUGCUCGUGGUGACGAGGGCGUAAAAAAUCCAGCCAGACACCUGAGCAGACGACGGACAAAUCCACAUCCUCCAGCGCUGAUCCAGUUUGGAUGAGUGGCCCAGGAAAAGCUGCUCCCAAAAGAAUUCAGCUAAGUCUUCACUUGUUUUUUUGUUCUCAGACAGAGCAAGACCAAAAGUGGCUGAAGUAGAACGGCGGAAAAAUAGACUCCGAAUUGUUUA